rnacentral:rRNA from 1 species
AGAAUCAACGCUGGCGGCGUGCCUAACACAUGCAAGUCGCACGAGAAAGGGGAGCAAUCCCUGAGUAAAGUGGCGCACGGGUGAGUAACACGUGAAUUAUCUACCUCCGAGUGGGGAAUAACCUAGAGAAAUCUGGGCUAAUACCGCAUAACACUUACGAGUCAAAGCAGCAAUGCGCUUGGAGAGGAGUUCGCGGCCGAUUAGUUAGUUGGCGGGGUAAUGGCCCACCAAGACGAUGAUCGGUA